rnacentral:rRNA from 1 species
GAUGAACGCUGGCGGCGUACCUAAUACAUGCAAGUCGAGCGAACAGACGAGGAGCUUGCUCCUCUGACGUUAGCGGCGGACGGGUGAGUAACACGUGGAUAACCUACCUAUAAGACUGGGAUAACUUCGGGAAACCGGAGCUAAUACCGGAUAAUAUAUUGAACCGCAUGGUUCAAUAGUGAAAGGCGGUUUUGCUGUCACUUAUAGAUGGAUCCGCGCCGCAUUAGCUAGUUGGUAAGGUAACGGCUUACCAAGGCGACGAUGCGUAGCCGACCUGAGAGGGUGAUCGGCCACACUGGAACUGAGACACGGUCCAGACUCCUACGGGAGGCAGCAGUAGGGAAUCUUCCGCAAUGGGCGAAAGCCUGACGGAGCAACGCCGCGUGAGUGAUGAAGGUCUUCGGGUCGUAAAACUCUGUUAUUAGGGAAGAACAAAUGUGUAAGUAACUAUGCACGUCUUGACGGUACCUAAUCAGAAAGCCACGGCUAACUACGUG